rnacentral:rRNA from 1 species
CCAGACUCCUACGGGAGGCAGCAGUGGGGAAUAUUGCACAAUGGGGGAAACCCUGAUGCAGCAACGCCGCGUGAGUGAAGAAGUCAUUCGUGAUGUAAAGCUCUCUCAGCAGGGAAGAAAAUGACGGUACCUGAGUAAGAAGCCCCGGCUAACUACGUGCCAGCAGCCGCGGUAAUACGUAGGGGGCAAGCGUUAUCCGGAUUUACUGGGUGUACAGGGAGCGUAGACGGUAUGGCAAGUCUGAAGUGAAAGCCCAGGGCUUAACCCUGGGACUGCUUUGGAAACUGUUAGACUAGAGUGCUGGAGAGGUAAGUGGAAUUCCUAGUGUAGCGGUGAAAUGCGUAGAUAUUAGGAGGAACACCAGUGGCGAAGGCGGCUUACUGGACAGUAACUGACGUUGAGGCUCGAAAGCGUGGGGAGCAAACAGGAUUAGAUACCCUGGUAC